CUACUACAGUCUUUUUGCUAGUAUAACGCACAGAAACUGUUCGAUAAAAUUCCAGUGAGAUGUAACAAUUUAUUUUCCAUCGCUUUAUUGGACAGUAUUAUUUGAUGUGUUUACACAGAUCAGAAUUUUUUUUUUGUUAUACAUUAGAAGGUACAGAUCAGAAUGAUGACAACUACAGAAAAACCAAGAAAAUAAACCCUAAGCUUUCCCUUCUUUAGUUUAAUUUGGAACGAGGUUCCAUGUUGAUCAACUCGCUCGCAAUUUUAUCAACUUCUUCUUUCCCCAAACAUUCAACCUUAAAGAUACCCAAUUCAAUUAUCAUCGCAAACCCUUUAUUCCCAUUACGCUGGGCCAAAGAAAUGGCAGCAUCUGCGAUCUUCGGCUUCAAGAAAUUAAGCACAUGGGUAUCAAGAUUUAAGGUCUUCAACACGUCCGGCAGAUAAAGUUCGCGCCACAUGGAUAAAGGGAAGACGAUUGGAACUCUGAUCGAGCUACGUUGUUCUGGGGUCACAAGAUCUUCAAUCACGAUUGCAGCGCCUUCUUCCGGUGGGAGUUUUAGUUGAUAUCUAUAUAGAAUGCGAAAUUCGAUAUUACAGGUUGGGAGGGAGGAGGAUGCUGGGUUUGUAGCUCCCUUGGCCUCGUACACGUUGAAAAGGCAGCUUACUUUGCUCGUCAUUGAUGCUUAUAACUUCCAACCAAUUUUUGGAUAAAUUGGACUUUCCGCUUGAAUAUUCAUCAAGUCUCCAGCUGUUCAGCCUUCAAAACUAUAUAUUAGCACUUGUAUCGUAAUAGAACUCAGCUGAGCUUUUAUUUAAAAAAUUUGAGAUUGGUUAUAUAAUUUUUUUUUUCUCUAAA
rnacentral:misc_RNA from 1 species